AGUGAACGCUGGCGGUAGGCCUAACACAUGCAAGUCGAACGGCAGCACAGGAGAGCUUGCUCUCUGGGUGGCGAGUGGCGGACGGGUGAGGAAUACAUCGGAAUCUACUCUGUCGUGGGGGAUAACGUAGGGAAACUUACGCUAAUACCGCAUACGACCUACGGGUGAAAGCAGGGGACCUUCGGGCCUUGCGCGAUUGAAUGAGCCGAUGUCGGAUUAGCUAGUUGGCGGGAUAAAGGCCCACCAAGGCGACGAUCCGUAGCUGGUAUGAGAGGAUGAUCAGCCACACUGGAACUGAGACACGGUCCAGACUCCUACGGGAGGCAGCAGUGGGGAAUAUUGGACAAUGGGCGCAAGCCUGAUCCAGCCAUACCGCGUGGGUGAAGAAGGCCUUCGGGUUGUAAGGCCCUUUUGUUGGGAAAGAAAUCCAGCUGGCUAAUACCCGGUUGGGAUGACGGUACCCAAAGAAUAAGCACCGGCUAACUUCGUGCCAGCCGCCGCAGUAA
rnacentral:rRNA from 1 species